CCGUUCUUGCCUGGAAUCGUUGCGCUCUGGCACAUGCUUUCUACGAGUCGAGUUGCUUGGGAUUGCAGCUCAAAUUUGGUGGUAAAUUCCAUCUAAAGCUAAAUAUUGGUGUGACACCGAUAGUGUACAAGUACCGUGAGGGAAAGAUGCAAAGAACUUUGAAAAGAGAGUUAAAGAGUACCUGAAAUUGUUAAAAGGGAAGCGAAGGAAACCAGUGUAAAGCGAAGCCAUUCUUCCUAAGCCACUUGUGGUUUGGGCGCUGUGGUUAGCUGUACUAAUUCUGGGCUUGAUCUGGGGCAAACGUUUUGUGAGUAGACGACUCUUCGGAGUGAGUGCUCACUUUUCAUAUCCUGGGUCGGGCUGAGGUCAGUCACUCUGUGCUCGUGAUGAAUUAGAAAAUGGUUUUCUUUACCCCGUCUUGAAACACGGACCAAGGAGUCUAACAUAUGUGCAAGUACGUCAGUGGCAAACUGAUAUGCGUAAUGAAAGUAACAGUGGUAGGAAGCUUCGGCUGCACUAUCCGCCGGCCAACAUCCUUCGGGAGAAAGGUCUGAGUGUGA
rnacentral:rRNA from 1 species